UAAACCAGUGAAGACACUUGGUGGCAGAUGAGUGGUGGGUGGUGAAUAAUAUGUGUCUGGAAGCUUGAGGUCCAA
rnacentral:snoRNA from 1 species